GCGGGCGCGAGGCCGAGAGCGGAGCGCGCAGCCCCGCCAAGCGUCUGCUGAACGGCGACCGCCUCCUCUUCCCCGCCUCUUCCUUCUCCUGCGCCUCGGCGGCCGCGGGAGCCGCUCUUCAGGGAGGAAGCGGCCUCCGGGGCUUGUUGCUUUGUGCUGCAACCAUGGUGAGGAGUGAGUGACGGGCCGGGGGCCAGUCGGAGGCCGCCGCAUCAUCGGAGGCGGAGCGCCCCGUGGCGCCGGCCCGCCCCAUCGCUGGCCUGGCGGGGCCGCGCCCUCGCUGCAAGCCGCGUUCUGCCGGGACCAGCAACUGCUUCCUACUUUAUCUGACAUCCUAGAGCACCAACUUGACUUCUCCAGGAUAAACCUCCACUUCAAAAGCAAAAGUAACAGAAAAAAAAAGAGAGAGAGAGAGAGAGAAUUUAAACCAAAUAAAUGUGCAAAAAAAGGAUAUACCCGACAUCCUCCCAA